rnacentral:misc_RNA from 1 species
UACAUAACUUGUCCCGCCUAUCCACAUGCCAAGCUUCUGAAUGCAACAAAACCGAAUUGGAGCAAUGUACAAGGAUGAACUCAAAAAUACACAGAUCUUAUUUCCUCCAGGAUUACAUGGAUAGCUAUAUUAAUUGCUCUGUACAAUGCACGAGCUACUUCCUAUUCUUUAGUUCCUCAGGACUUCAAGGACAUUUUUUAUGCUAAUCCCAGGAACCACCAGAAAAUCCCCACAGCAGUCAAAGCUGAAGGCCAUGCGGAUGCAUAGAUAUCAUUGGUUUGCAACCAAAAACAAGCACCUGUAUCAUUUUGACAUUUUCAUUUCACCUUGCAUUAUUAUUAGUAGUAGAAGGAACUUCAGUUUGAUUGGAUGGAGUUUGGGCUCGAGGCGUGCUGACAUUUGCCAUGCCAUAUUCAUCAUGAAGUGUUCCAAACUCAUUCCACUCAACCCCAGGCUCAGUGCUCCACAUGUCUGUGAUGCUAACACCAGCAUCUGAUAAUAGCCAGUAAUCCGCAUCACUAUCUACAUCUGAGGGAACAAUCUUCAUGAUCCCGCUCACAAAAUCCUGUGAGGUGUUAAGAUCUGAGCACAUUCUAU